rnacentral:rRNA from 1 species
CAGCAGCCACGGGAAUACAGAGGGUGCGAGCGUUAAUUGGAUUUACUGGGCGUAAAGCGUGCGUAGGCGGCUUUUUAAGUCGGAUGUGAAAUCCCUGAGCUUAACUUAGGAAUUGCAUUCGAUACUGGGAAGCUAGAGUAUGGGAGAGGAUGGUAGAAUUCCAGGUGUAGCGGUGAAAUGCGUAGAGAUCUGGAGGAAUACCGAUGGCGAAGGCAGCCAUCUGGCCUAAUACUGACGCUGAGGUACGAAAGCAUGGGGAGCAAACAGGAUUAGAUACCCCCGUAGUCCCUGUCUCUUAUAC